rnacentral:rRNA from 2 species
AUACAUGCAGUCGAGCGGAGUAUUUCCUUCGGGAAAUGCUUAGCGGCGGACGGGUGAGUAACACGUAGGUAACCUGCCUAUCAGAUCGGGAUAACUAUCGGAAACGAUAGCUAAGACCGGAUAACUGGUUUUCUCGCAUGAGAGAAUUAUGAAACACGGAGCAAUCUGUGGCUGAUAGAUGGGCCUGCGGCGCAUUAGCUAGUUGGUGGGGUAACGGCUCACCAAGGCGACGAUGCGUACCCGACCUGAGAGGGUGAACGGCCACACUGGGACUGAGACACGGCCCAGACUCCUACGGGAGGCAGCAGUAGGGAAUCUUCCGCAAUGGACGCAAGUCUGACGGAGCAACGCCGCGUGAGUGAUGAAGGUUUUCGGAUCGUAAAGCUCUGUUGCCCUAGACGAACAGCAUGAGGAGUAACUGCCUUGUGUGUGACGGUAUAAGAGAAGAAAGCCCCGGCUAACUACGUGCCAGCAGCCGCGGUAAUACGUAGGGGGCAAGCGUUGUCCGGAAUUAUUGGGCGUAAAGCGCGCGCAGGCGGUUAAUUAAGUUGGGUGUUUAAGCCCGGGGCUCAACCCCGGUUCGCAUCCAAAACUGGU